AAACUUUCAACAACGGAUCUCUUGGCUCUGGCAUCGAUGAAGAACGCAGCGAAAUGCGAUAAGUAAUGCGAAUUGCAGAAUUCCGUGAGUCAUCGAAUCUUUGAACGCACAUUGCGCCCCCCGGUAUCCCGGAGGGCAUGCCUGUCCGAGCGUCAUU
rnacentral:rRNA from 1 species